GGGGGAUAACAUUCCUUCACCUCCCGUUUCUUCUCUGGGAGUUUUUCAUUUCCGAUUCGCUGGCUGAUAAACGGUCCUUUAACUGAUGCUUAUUGGCCACUGAUAAUCUAACACCAUCAUUCUGAACUGUCAAUCACCACAAGCCCAGGAAUGUAGGAUGGCAGCGGGUACAGGUCUAGCGGAG